GACUUAUCAAACCACCUCGUCUGCUUGGUGGCUUUGGAUGUGGGGGUCUUUGCAGGCUUUGAACAAAGGUCGGCUCCCCUGAAACGCAUUAGUGGCAUCUGAGCUGCUACUAUAGGUGUGAUAAAUUAUCUAUGCCUUUGGUACGCCGCAUGAACGGAUCGCGCUGCUCACAACGAAAAAAGAACUUUGACAA
rnacentral:misc_RNA from 1 species